rnacentral:rRNA from 1 species
GACGAACGCUGGCGGCGUGCCUAAUACAUGCAAGUAGAACGCUGAAGGAGGAGCUUGCUUCUCUGGAUGAGUUGCGAACGGGUGAGUAACGCGUAGGUAACCUGCCUGGUAGCGGGGGAUAACUAUUGGAAACGAUAGCUAAUACCGCAUAAUAGCAGUUGUUGCAUGACAACUGUUUGAAAGGUGCAAUUGCACCACUACCAGAUGGACCUGCGUUGUAUUAGCUAGUUGGUGGGGUAACGGCUCACCAAGGCGACGAUACAUAGCCGACCUGAGAGGGUGAUCAGCCACACUGGGACUGAGACACGGCCCAGACUCCUACGGGAGGCAGCAGUAGGGAAUCUUCGGCAAUGGACGGAAGUCUGACCGAGCAACGCCGCGUGAGUGAAGAAGGUUUUCGGAUCGUAAAGCUCUGUUGUAAGAGAAGAACGAGUGUGAGAGUGGAAAGUUCACACUGUGACGGUAUCUUACCAGAAAGGGACGGCUAACUACGUG